GCUUUUGUAAUCGCACUUUCUCCUUUUUCUUCCCACUUGAGUGGCUACUCUUUCUUGGGCUUCUGUGAUUUUCUUCCUCUGCUCACCCUUUGAGGGUUUUCUCCUAGCCAAGGCUUUCCCCUCAGCCUGCUCCUCUUCUUAAGAUGCACGUCCUCCCUGUGUGACCUCAUCCAAAUGGCCACCUCAGACGUGAACAAGAUUGGUCCCCUUGGCAAGGAAGAAGGUCCCUCAGAACAGCCGUCCUCCAAUGCGGAAGGAGACUAUGCAAAGGUGUGAGUACCAGGAGAUUAACCCUAAGCUAACAUCUGCCACCAAUCCUCCUCUU